UACGGAGGAUGCGAGCGUUAUCCGGAUUUAUUGGGUUUAAAGGGUGCGCAGGCGGGCUGUUAAGCCGGCGGUAAAAAUUCAGGGCUCAACCCUGUCGAGCCGUCGGAACUGGCAGUCUUGAGUGGGCGAGAAGUAUGCGGAAUGCGUGGUGUAGCGGUGAAAUGCUUAGAGAUCAUACAGAACACCGAUUGCGAAGGCAGCUUACCAAACUAUAUCUGACGUUGAGGCACGAAAGCGUGGGUAGCAAACAGG
rnacentral:rRNA from 1 species